rnacentral:rRNA from 2 species
GACGUAGGGGGCGAGCGUUGUCCGGAUUUAUUGGGCGUAAAGCGCGCGUAGGCGGCUGCGCAAGUCGGUUGUGAAACCCCGGGGCUCAACCCCGGAACUGCAUCCGAUACUGCGUGGCUAGAGGUAGGUAGGGGAGAUCGGAAUUCCUGGUGUAGCGGUGAAAUGCGCAGAUAUCAGGAGGAACACCGGUGGCGAAGGCGGAUCUCUGGGCCUUACCUGACGCUCAGGCGCGAAAGCUAGGGGAGCGAACAGG